rnacentral:rRNA from 1 species
UUUGGGUCAUAGUGGCGCACGGGUGCGUAACGCGUGGGAAUCUGCCCUGGGGUCUGGGAUAACCGUUGGAAACGACGGCUAAUACCGGAUGAUGUCGCAAGACCAAAGAUUCAUUGCCCUGGGAUGAGCCCGCGUCCGAUUAGCUAGUUGGUGAGGUAAGAGCUUACCAAGGCGACGAUCGGUAGCUGGUCUGAGAGGAUGAUCAGCCACACUGGGACUGAGACACGGCCCAGACUCCUACGGGAGGCAGCAGUGGGGAAUAUUGGACAAUGGGCGAAAGCCUGAUCCAGCAAUGCCGCGUGAGUGAUGAAGGCCUUAGGGUUGUAAAGCU